rnacentral:rRNA from 1 species
UACGGAGGGUGCAAGCGUUAUCCGGAUUCACUGGGUUUAAAGGGUGCGUAGGUGGGCUAGUAAGUCCGUGGUGAAAUCCCCGAGCUUAACUCGGGAACUGCCGUGGAUACUAUUAGUCUUGAAUAUCGUGGAGGUAAGCGGAAUAUGUCAUGUAGCGGUGAAAUGCUUAGAUAUGACAUAGAACACCGAUAGCGGAGGCAGCUUACUACGCGAUUAUUGACACUGAGGCACGAAAGCGUGGGAUCAAACAGG